AUUCAGCUGACGAGUUCCAAAUAGGACGAAACGCGCAUCCAGGAU
rfam:Schistosoma mansoni strain Puerto Rico chromosome 3, complete genome